AGAUUGAACGCUGGCGGCAGGCCUAACACAUGCAAGUCGAGCGGUAGAGAGGUGCUUGCACCUCUUGAGAGCGGCGGACGGGUGAGUAAUGCCUAGGAAUCUGCCUAGUGGUGGGGGGAUAACGUUCGGAAACGGACGCUAAUACCGCAUACGUCCUACGGGAGAAAGCGGGGGACCUUCGGGCCUCGCGCCAUUAGAUGAGCCUAGGUCGGAUUAGCUAGUUGGUGAGGUAAUGGCUCACCAAGGCGACGAUCCGUAACUGGUCUGAGAGGAUGAUCAGUCACACUGGAACUGAGACACGGUCAGACUCCUACGGAGGCAGCAGUGGGAAUAUUGGACAAUGGGCGAAAGCCUGAUCCAGCCAUGCCGCGUGUGUGAAGAAGGUCUUCGGAUUGUAAAGCUACUUUAAGGUUGGAAGGAAGGUUGUUAAACUUAAGUACGUUAGCUAAUUUGAACGUUACCGAACAGAAUAAGACACCGGUACUAACUUCGUGACCGAAGCAACGGCCGACGGUUAACG
rnacentral:rRNA from 1 species